UGGAUACAGGAGGCAAUUGAGCCUCCUGCCUGGCCCUGAUUGGAAGGUAGAACUGUUCUUGAAGAAACAAGAGAUGUGUAGUUUAAGAAAAGUGGGAAAAACUGGAAGAUCUUAAAGUUGAAAGGAGAGGACUUCUGAAUUGAAUGAGGCAGGCAGAUCAACUCUGCACCUACUGCAGCAAAAACCUAAAAAUUGAUCUAGACUGAAUAAUGAUCAGGAAAUUCAAUGAGCAACUACAGUGAAGAUAGAGGCCCUCAGACCUCAGUUAAGAGACAGCAGAUUUAGCUCAACAGUGAAAAAAGGUGAUGCUAUUAAAUGUUGAGGUUUACUCCUUUACUUUUUGAGAAUAAACUCCUGUGAGGAGGCACAGGGCUUCCAAAAUGGAAUGGGAUGCAUUUAGAAAGAUAAGAGAUUUUUUCUUUUUAGA